rnacentral:rRNA from 1 species
CCUACGGGGGGCAGCAGUGAGGAAUAUUGGUCAAUGGACGAGAGUCUGAACCAGCCAAGUAGCGUGAAGGAUGACUGCCCUAUGGGUUGUAAACUUCUUUUAUAAAGGAAUAAAACGAGGCACGUGUGCCUUUUUGCAUGUACUUUAUGAAUAAGGAUCGGCUAACUCCGUGCCAGCAGCCGCGGUAAUACGGAGGAUCCGAGCGUUAUCCGGAUUUAUUGGGUUUAAAGGGUGCGUAGGUGGGUUUUUAAGUCAGUUGUGAAAGUUUGCGGCUCAACCGUAAAAUUGCCAUUGAUACUGGCAGUCUUGAGUACAGUUGAGGUAGGCGGAAUGCGUGGUGUAGCGGUGAAAUGCUUAGAUAUCACGAAGAACCCCGAUUGCGAAGGCAGCUUACUAAACUGUGACUGACAUUGAUGCUCGAAAGUGUGGGUAUCGAACAGGAUUAGAUACCCUGGUAGUC